UUUUAAAGAAACAAAUUUAAUUGAUUUCCAAGGCUUGAGUGUGAUUAAAAAAAAAAAAUUAAAAGGUAAACUUCACCGUGCAGGAAGAAGCAUAGGAAAAGAGAGAGAGAAAAGAACAAAGAAAAAAAAAAAGAAUAGCAAGUCUCUCCAAGUACUAUGGAAACAAACAGAAAGUGGAAUUAGGAAAAAAGAGAGGAAGAAGGUCUGAGUAGUCCAAGGGACAUGGGAGGCCAGUUGGGAAGACCUCCCGGGCGAGACCAGGAAGAUCAAGGCCACAGUGAAUCACGAUCCCAUCCCUCUGCUCAACCUGAAUUGUACUGCUGCUGGCGAGAGAGAUCUGGUCGACCUUAGACAUGGCAAGGCAAGAGGUGAGGUCCAUCAGGUCAACCUUGGUCCAACGCUUACAGCCGACAUCUCUCUCAAAAUAAAUAAACAAAUC
rnacentral:lncRNA from 1 species